AAGCCGUGGUGUGGGCAUUGGUUGGUAUAACCUCUAAACCGUUCCCAAGCUUCACUAAAACCUUUGUUGUUAUGUUGUGUGAAACUUGAAAUCUGAUUCCUCAGCUU
rfam:Eutrema salsugineum unplaced genomic scaffold scaffold_3, whole genome shotgun sequence.